rnacentral:rRNA from 1 species
GACGGAAGGUGCAAGCGUUGCUCGGAAUCACUGGGCGUAAAGGGUGCGUAGGCGGCCGCGCAAGUCUGGCGUGAAAAGCCCCCGGGCUCAGCCCCGGGAAGGGGCGCUCGAAAAACGGCGCGGCUCGAGUGCCGGAGGGGGAGAGUGGAAAUUCCUGGUGUAGCGGUGAAAAUGCGUAGAUAUCAGGAGGAAUACCGGUGGCGAAAAGCGACUCUCUGGACGGCAAACUGACGCUGAGGGCACGAAAAGCGUGGGGGGAGCAAAACAGG